rnacentral:misc_RNA from 1 species
ACCUUACCAACACCGCCUUGGUUCAGGGUUUCAUCACCACUUACUGGAACUAUUGCAAAAGUCUCCAGCUUAGCUUCCUGCCUCCAGACUCUCUUGCCUACAGUUUAUUCUCCACACUCUUGACAAGAGUAACCCGUACACCACGUGCAUGCAUGCUAAGUCACUUUAGUUUUGCCCAACUCUUUGUGACCCUGUGGACUGUAGCCUGCCAGGCUCCUCUCUCCAUGGGAUUUCCCAGGCAAGAAUGCUGGAUUGGGUUGCUAUAUUCUCUUC